rnacentral:rRNA from 1 species
UAGGAAGGGUGUUUUUUAUUUUUUAGUAUUGCCUACUAUUGAGGGACAUUUUUAUUAUUAUAAAUAGUGGAAAGAGGAAGUGAAUUGAGGAUUUUAUUUUGUUGCACAACAUAAGAAAACUUUAAUAAGUGUUGAUAUGACGUUGUCUCGGAUACCCGCGUAGUUUGUUGUGUUGUUAUGCUAUAUAUAUAUAUGAUUUUCAAGAAGUUUAGGAUUUGAAGUUUCUUAUUUGUGGGUUUUAUAACUUUUUUUUUGUUAUUGUUUAUACAAAGUUUUAGUAAAGUUAUUUCUUUAUUUUAAAUUUCCUGGGAUUUAGUAUAUUUUUUUUUGUGAAGUGAUUUUUUGUAAAUUAAGCCGAGUAUUAUUUAAUGUGUCAACUGUUUGUUAUAAACAAAGAUAAAAAAUUUUUAUUUUCUCCUGCCCUAUGAAAUUUUUAAAUGGCAGUCUUAGCGUGAGGACAUAAAAGUAGCAAGGUCAAUUGUAUUUUUAUUGAAUUCGAGUAUGAACGGGGGUUUGACUCGUGAAGUUCUACUUUUUGUUGGAACUAAGUUUUUGUUUGAGAAUGAACAAAUUUGACUCUACCAAGAUAAGUCUUCGGGAAUUUUGUUAUUUUUUUUUGAUGUGGAAAAAAUUAUUUAUCUGGGGCAGAUCUGUUUGUGUAUUCUCUCUUUCUAUAGUUAAUUUAAUAAAUUACCCCGGAGUUAACAGGAAAAUUUAUAUUUUUUAGUUGUUAUACAGUUUGAAUUUUACAUCGAUGUUGUAUUUUAAAUGUGGCGGGGGCAGAAGAUUGUAGUUUUGAGACUGUUCUUCUUUUAAAUUGAACUUGAUAUUAGUUUAAUUCAUUGUGAGAUAGAGUGGUUUAUCUGGGGGGUUCCAGAGUUAGGACGGGCUAGUACGAAAGGAAUGUUUUUAAAAUCUUAGAUUUUUGAGUUUUUUAU